GAAAUGAUUGAAUGACCUCGUCUUUAUCCUCACUGCUCUGCAGGUGAUUCUUGUCUCUAUGAAACAAUCGGAGGCUCUGAAGAACCUGAACAAGAUGAAUCCAGCCUCACAUAUUCUAUGAUUGAGCUCAAACACUUUAAAAAGAAGGAGAAGCACGAUGAACCAGACGAGAGCCCCGUUUACUCGGAUGUGAGGACGACAUCAGCUGCAGGUACAGUCAACGCCAGCAGAGCUUCCUGCUGUUUAACAGACGUGACGUAUGCCCAGGUUCACCCCCCCACUAAGAAGAAGAGGAAUGAAGGUAAGUAAAGUCCACAUCAGGAAAAUCCAGAUUUGCAGCAGCAGAGGAAGCUGUUUAUUCUGAAGUCAAACCAGGAACAUCUUGAGAUCAAUAAAGACAUCCGUGUGGACAAAACCGACCAACGAGAAAAACAAUCUCUUUAAUAGACGUGUGAGGCUUGUUAAAUGAAUCCUUUUUGGGAACCUUUGUGCUCCGAAUAGCAGAAAGUAUUUUGUACAGUUAAUUAGCAGAUUGUUUCAACUAAAUCUUAAAGUGUUUUUUAACCAUUAAGUGUAUGAAACGUAUUUUUCCUUCAAUAUGCUUUCAGCAGCGUCUUUAACAGCUUAUUCUCCAUGUUAAAAUAAUGCAUGGCAAGUGUUUUUAUAAUGUUUUAUUUUGAAGAUCCAGUAAAGUCAUGCUUUUGGGGUCAGAAAAGAAGAAAAAAAGUUUAAAAAUGUCAGUAUAUCGCUUUAAUGUAAAAACAUGCAACAUAAGCAAAGCUCUCUUUGUGACGUCUCUUUAU